UACGGAGGGUGCAAGCGUUAUCCGGAUUCACUGGGUUUAAAGGGUGCGUAGGAGGGCAGGUAAGUCAGUGGUGAAAUCUCCAAGCUUAACUUGGAAACUGCCGUUGAUACUAUCUGUCUUGAAUAUUGUGGAGGUGAGCGGAAUAUGUCAUGUAGCGGUGAAAUGCUUAGAUAUGACAUAGAACACCAAUUGCGAAGGCAGCUCGCUACACAUAUAUUGACUCUGAGGCACGAAAGCGUGGGGAGCAAACAGG
rnacentral:rRNA from 1 species